rnacentral:rRNA from 1 species
UUGAUGGAGAGUUUGAUCCUGGCUCAGGACGAACGCUGGCGGCGUGCUUAACACAUGCAAGUCGAACGAUGAACCGGGCUUUCGGGCUUGGGGAUUAGUGGCGAACGGGUGAGUAACACGUGAGCAACCUGCCCCGGACUCCGGGAUAACUGCUGGAAACGGUAGCUAAUACGGGAUACGACCUCGCGCCGCAUGGCGCUUGGUGGAAAGGUUUUUUCCGGUUUGGGAUGGACUCGCGGCCUAUCAGCUUGUUGGCAGGGUGAUUGCCUACCAAGGCUUUGACGGGUAGCCGGCCUGAGAGGGCGACCGGCCACACUGGGACUGAGAUACGGCCCAGACUCCUACGGGAGGCAGCAGUGGGGAAUAUUGCACAAUGGGCGCAAG